UCUUAUUUUGUAUGUAAAUAAUUUUUUUUAAUUAGAAAUGAUGUUUCUUACAUUACAGAGAAUAAAAGUUUCGCGGUUAUUAUAGUUCUCCAUAAAGGACUUAGAAAAAGCAUCCCUCAUCCUAGGGAUGAAGAUCUAUAAAGAUAGAUCUAAAAAGUUGCUUAGGUUAUCCCAGUCCAACAUACAUAGAGUGUUUAUGAGUAGAAUUUAUUCUAUCAUGUAUACCAUGUAUGAGACUGAAUAUGGUAUACUCACUAGGAUAAUGAGUGGAUAUCUGCAAGAUCCGGAUGAGAAUCACUGGUAGGUUAUCCUUAAAUAUUUGAGAAAUACUAAGGACCAGUGAUUCAGUUACGGAGAAUCUAACUUAAAAACUUAUGGAGUAUAACUCUAAUUUUUAGUUGAACAUAAUAAUAACAAGAAUGUGUCGGAAUACAUUCUUAUCUUAAAUAAUAGAGCAAUCUGCUGAAAAGGUUCCAAGUAGAGCAAUAUAGCCAAAUUCAAAUUACGAGGC
rnacentral:lncRNA from 1 species